AAAAGAAUUUUAGUCCAACCUAAAGUUACAAAAAUUAACAUAAAUGUCCUUCCCACUUUAGAGCAAUUCAAAUGAGGUACAGCCCAUUUGAUACAGGAUCCAACCUUCACUAACGGGUAAUAUAUGACUUACACCUACAAGUAGGCCUAAGAGCAGCCACCUUUUAAAAAGCGUCAAACCUUAGCUGUGUUUACACCAAUUCAUUGCCCCCCAUCAACCCCUUUCACCAUAUUGAGAAAUUCCAUAAUGUUAUGGAACCUUUUAUGUUAAAACUAGUAACAAGAGAAAGCCCCCUCUCUAUAAUGCAAACUCAAGCCAGCAAGAACCCAUCACUGGCAACUAACAAACAAGUAAAGUAGUAACUUUCUCCAGAAAACUCUACUUCUCCUAACUGUUAACCUUACACAAGAGCAUUUCAAGAAAGAUUUUAAGAAAAAGAAGGAACUCGGCAAACACAAAUCCCGCCUGUUUACCAAAAACAUCGCCUCUUGUCCACUCAUAAGAGGUCCAGCCUGCCCAGUGACUCUUGUUCAACGGCCGCGGUAUCCUAACCGUGCAAAGGUAGCGUAAUCACUUGUCUUUUAAAUAAAGACUAGUAUGAAAGGCAUCACGAGGAUUAAACUGUCUCCUUUUUCUAAUCAGUGAACCUAAUCUCCCCGUGAAAAAGCGGGGAUUUUUAUAUAAGACGAGAAGACCCUAUGGAGCUUAAAACAUCAUAACACUGCACCCCAUUUUCACCAAUCCAGAUAUUACCCAAACAGCACGCUGAUUAUAUGUUUUCGGUUGGGGUGACCGCGGAGGAAAACCUAUCCUCCGCGAUGACAAAGGGGGCCCCCCCCAAACAAUAAGUCACAACUUUAUGUAUCAACAAAUUGACAUUAUUGACCCAAUAUAUUGAUUAACGAACCAAGUUACCCUAGGGAUAACAGCGCAAUCCACUUUGAGAGCUCCUAUCGACAAGUGGGCUUACGACCUCGAUGUUGGAUCGGGGUAUCCUGGUGGCGCAGCCGCUACUAAAGGUUCGUUUGUUCAACGAUUAAAACCCCACGUGAUCUGAGUUCAGACCGGAGUAAUCCAGGUCAGUUUCUAUCUAUACAGCGCUAUUUUUAGUACGAAAGGACCAAAAUAGCCCGGCCACUGCCCCUGACAAGCCCUUAUUAAUUACUUUUGACCUCUACUCAAAAACUAUUAACCC
rnacentral:rRNA from 1 species